CCGUUUUUGUGUUAUUUGCUGGAAGUUAUAUCCAAAGCCAGUGAUUGUCAAACAGAACGUAGACUAAAAACGAGGCAGCUACUCACUCCAUAAUGUUUAUCCUAAUUUAUCCAGGGAUUCUGCAUUACUAAAUGCUUGCUACAUGC